GGAGAGAUCGCAUAAUGGUAUUGCAGUAGUCUUGAAAACUACCGUCCGUAAGGAUAUGCAGGUUCGACUCCUGUUCUCUCCGCCA
rnacentral:tRNA from 2 species